CCUACGGGAGGCAGCAGUGGGGAAUAUUGCACAAUGGGGGAAACCCUGAUGCAGCAACGCCGCGUGAGUGAAGAAGUAUCUCGGUAUGUAAAGCUCUAUCAGCAGGGAAGAAAAUGACGGUACCUGACUAAGAAGCCCCGGCUAACUACGUGCCAGCAGCCGCGGUAAUACGUAGGGGGCAAGCGUUAUCCGGAUUUACUGGGUGUAAAGGGAGCGUAGACGGUGUGGCAAGUCUGAAGUGAAAUCCCGCGGCUCAACCGCGGAACUGCAUUUGACACUGUUUUUCUUGAGUGCCGGAGAGGUAGGCGGAAUUCCUAGUGUAGCGGUGAAAUGCGUAGAUAUUAGGAGGAACACCAGUGGCGAAGGCGGCCUACUGGACGGUGACUGACGCUGAGGCUCGAAAGCGUGGGGAGCAAACAGGAUUAGAUACCCUUGUAGUC
rnacentral:rRNA from 1 species